rnacentral:rRNA from 1 species
CCGACUGCUAUCAGAGUGGGACUAAGCCAUGCGAGUCAACAUAGCAAUAUGUGGCAUACGGCUCAGUAACACGUAGUCAACAUGCCCAGGGGACGUGGAUAACCUCGGGAAACUGAGGAUAAACCGCGAUAGGUCAUCACUUCUGGAAUGGGUAAUGACUUAAAUCUAUAUGGCCCCUGGAUUGGACUGCGGCCGAUCAGGCUGUUGGUGAGGUAAUGGCCCACCAAACCUGUAACCGGUACGGGCUCUGAGAGGAGGAGCCCGGAGAUGGGCACUGAGACAAGGGCCCAGGCCCUAUGGGGCGCAGCAGGCGCGAAACCUCUGCAAUAGGCGAAAGCUUGACAGGGUUACUCUGAGUGAUUUCCGUUAAGGAGAUCUUUUGGCACCUCUAAAAAUGGUGCAGAAUAAGGGGUGGGCAAGUCUGGUGUCAGCCGCCGCGGUAAUACCAGCACCCCGAGUGGUCGGGACGUUUAUUGGGCCUAAAGCAUCCGUAGCCGGUUCUACAAGUCUUCCGUUAAAUCCACCUGCUUAACAGAUGGGCUGCGGAAGAUACUAUAGAGCUAGGAGGCGGGAGAGGCAAGCGGUACUCGAUGGGUAGGGGUAAAAUCCGUUGAUCCAUUGAAGACCACCAGUGGCGAAGGCGGCUUGCCAGAACGCGCUCGACGGUGAGGGAUGAAAGCUGGGGGAGCAAACCGGAUUAGAUACCCGGGUAGUCCCAGCUGUAAACGAUGCAGACUCGGUGAUGAGUUGGCUUAUUGCUAACUCAGUGCCGCAGGGAAGCCGUUAAGUUUGCCGCCUGGGGAGUACGGUCGCAAGACUGAAACUUAAAGGAAUUGGCGGGGGAGCACCACAAGGGGUGAAGCCUGCGGUUC